AGAGUUUGAUCCUGGCUCAGGAUGAACGCUGGCGGCGUGCCUAACACAUGCAAGUUGAGCGAUUUACUUCGGUAAAGAGCGGCGGACGGGUGAGUAACGCGUGGGUAACCUACCCUGUACACACGGAUAACAUACCGAAAGGUAUGCUAAUACGGGAUAAUAUAUUUGAGAGGCAUCUCUUGAAUAUCAAAGGUGAGCCAGUACAGGAUGGACCCGCGUCUGAUUAGCUAGUUGGUAAGGUAACGGCUUACCAAGGCGACGAUCAGUAGCCGACCUGAGAGGGUGAUCGGCCACAUUGGAACUGAGACACGGUCCAAACUCCUACGGGAGGCAGCAGUGGGGAAUAUUGCACAAUGGGCGAAAGCCUGAUGCAGCAACGCCGCGUGAGUGAUGAAGGCCUUCGGGUCGUAAAACUCUGUCCUCAAGGAAGAUAAUGACGGUACUUGAGGAGGAAGCCCCGGCUAACUACGUGCCAGCAGCCGCGGUAAUACGUAGGGGGCUAGCGUUAUCCGGAUUUACUGGGCGUAAAGGGUGCGUAGGCGGUCUUUCAAGUCAGGAGUGAAAGGCUACGGCUCAACCGUAGUAAGCUCUUGAAACUGGGAGACUUGAGUGCAGGAGAGGAGAGUGGAAUUCCUAGUGUAGCGGUGAAAUGCGUAGAUAUUAGGAGGAACACCAGUUGCGAAGGCGGCUCUCUGGACUGUAACUGACGCUGAGGCACGAAAGCGUGGGGAGCAAACAGGAUUAGAUACCCUGGUAGUCCACGCUGU
rnacentral:rRNA from 1 species